GCUUUUGAGGCAAAGAAGAACUAUAUACAUCGUAAUUAAGCAUAUCAAAACUCUCAUUUAACAACAACAUUCCUAGUACAGUCCCACAAGUGGGGUCUAAGGAAAUUGGGGUAUGCACACACCUUACCCCUACCUUAGUGGGGUGGGGAGGUUGUUUUCGAUAGACCCUCGGCUCAAGAAAAUCAUUUUACAAGACAGGUAUGAAUGAGUUGUGAUGAGUCCACAAAUUGGACUCAUUUAGGGCUAUAUUUUAAUAGAA
rnacentral:lncRNA from 1 species